AACGAACGCUGGCGGCAUGCUUAACACAUGCAAGUCGAACGGUGUCUUCGGACAUAGUGGCGCACGGGUGCGUAACACGUAUGCAACCUACCUUACAUUGGGGGAUAGCCUUUCGAAAGGGAGAUUAAUACCGCAUAAGACAGUAGCUGGGCAUCCAGCAGCUGUUAAAGAUUUAUCGAUGUAAGCUGGGCAUGCGUCCAAUUAGCUAGUUGGUGAGGUAACGGCUCACCAAGGCAAUGAUUGGUAGAGGAACUGAGAGGUCAAUCCCCCACCCUGGCACUGAGAUACGGGCCAGACUCCUACGGGAGGCAGCAGUAGGGAAUAUUGGGCAAUGGACGCAAGUCUGACCCAGCCAUGCCGCGUGCAGGAUGAAGGCGUUAUGCGUUGUAAACUGCUUUUAUACAGGAAGAAACGACUCUUGCGAGAGGCAUUGACGGUACUGUAUGAAUAAGCACCGGCUAACUCCGUGCCAGCCGCCGCGGUAAGAC
rnacentral:rRNA from 1 species